rnacentral:rRNA from 1 species
GACGAACCGUGCGAACGUUAUUCGGAAUCACUGGGCUUAAGGCGCGUGUAGGCGGAUGGGUACGUCGGUCGUUGAAAGCCCCCGGCUCAACCGGGGAAUGGGCGCCGAAACGACCCGUCUGGAGGGACGUAGGGGGACCUGGAACUUCCGGUGGAGCGGUGAAAUGCGUUGAGAUCGGAAGGAACGCCCGUGGCGAAAGCGAGGUCCUGGACGUCUACUGACGCUGAGACGCGAAAGCUAGGGGAGCGAACGGG